rnacentral:rRNA from 1 species
UACGUAGGGUGCGAGCGUUAAUCGGAAUUACUGGGCGUAAAGCGUGCGCAGGCGGUUCGUUAAGUCAGAUGUGAAAGCCCCGGGCUCAACCUGGGAAUUGCAUUGGAAACUAGCGGGCUGGAGUGUGGCAGAGGGGGGUGGAAUUCCACGUGUAGCAGUGAAAUUCGUAGAUAUCGGGAGGAACACCGGUGGCGAAGGCGGCGACCUGGGUAGAUACUGACGCUGAGGCGCGGAAAGCGUGGGGAGCAACAGGG